rnacentral:rRNA from 1 species
GACGAACGCUGGCGGCGUGCUUAACACAUGCAAGUCGAACGGAAAGGCGCUGCUCUUGCUGGUCUCUCGAUAGGCGAGCAGGUGUGUAACACACGAGUAACCUCCCCCUGACUGUGUGAUAACUUCACGAGACUCGGGCUAAUACCCGGUAUGAUCUCCUGCUGCAUGUGGUGGGUUGGAAAGUUACGGCGUUUGUGUCUGGACUGGCUGCUUAUCCGCUUGUUGGGCGGGUAGUGGCUUACCAAGGCUUUGACGGGUAGCCGGCCUGGGAGGGUGACCGGCGACAAUGGGCCUGAGAUACGGCGCAGAAUCCUACGGGAGGCAGCGGUGGGGAAUCUUGCGGAAUGGGGGGAAGCGUGAUGCAGAAACGCCGGGUGCGGGAUGCUGGGCUUCGGGUUGUAAACAGAUUUCGACUGUGACGAAGCGUGAGUGACGGUAAUGGGUAAAAAAGCAACGGCUAACUACGUG